rnacentral:rRNA from 1 species
GACGAACGCUGGCGGCGUGCCUAAUACAUGCAAGUAGAACGCUGAAGAGAGGAGCUUGCUCUUCUUGGAUGAGUUGCGAACGGGUGAGUAACGCGUAGGUAACCUGCCUUGUAGCGGGGGAUAACUAUUGGAAACGAUAGCUAAUACCGCAUAACAAUGGAUGACACAUGUCAUUUAUUUGAAAGGGGCAAUUGCUCCACUACAAGAUGGACCUGCGUUGUAUUAGCUAGUAGGUGAGGUAAUGGCUCACCUAGGCGACGAUACAUAGCCGACCUGAGAGGGUGGUCGGCCACACUGGGACUGAGACACAGCCCAGACUCCUACGGGAGGCAGCAGUAGGGAAUCUUCGGCAAUGGGGGCAACCCUGACCGAGCAACGCCGCGUGAGGGAAGAAGGUUUUCGGAUCGUAAAGCUCUGUUGUAAGUCAAGAACGGGUGUGAGAGUGGAAAGUUCACACUGUGACGGUAGCUUACCAGAAAGGGACGGCUAACUACGUG